GAUGAACGCUGGCGGCGUGCUUAACACAUGCAAGUCGAACGGGAAAUAUUUCAUUGAGACUUCGGUGGAUUUGAUUUAUUUCUAGUGGCGGCCGGGUGAGUAACGCGUGGGUAACCUGCCUUAUACAGGGGGAUAACAGUCAGAAAUGGCUGCUAAUACCGCAUAAGCGCACAGAGCUGCAUGGCUCAGUGUGAAAAACUCCGGUGGUAUAAGAUGGACCCGCGUUGGAUUAGCUAGUUGGUGGGGUAACGGCCCACCACGGCGACGAUCCAUAGCCGGCCUGAGAGGGUGAACGGCCACAUUGGGACUGAGACACGGCCCAGACUCCUACGGGAGGCAGCAGUGGGGAAUAUUGCACAAUGGGGGAAACCCUGAUGCAGCGACGCCGCGUGAAGGAAGAAGUAUCUCGGUAUGUAAACUUCUAUCAGCAGGGAAGAUAGUGACGGUACCUGACUAAGAAGCCCCGGCUAACUACGUG
rnacentral:rRNA from 1 species